rnacentral:rRNA from 1 species
UGGGGAAUAUUGCACAAUGGGCGCAAGCCUGAUGCAGCCAUGCCGCGUGUGUGAAGAAGGCCUUCGGGUUGUAAAGCACUUUCAGCGGGGAGGAAGGCGAUAAGGUUAAUAACCUUGUCGAUUGACGUUACCCGCAGAAGAAGCACCGGCUAACUCCGUGCCAGCAGCCGCGGUAAUACGGAGGGUGCAAGCGUUAAUCGGAAUUACUGGGCGUAAAGCGCACGCAGGCGGUCUGUCAAGUCGGAUGUGAAAUCCCCGGGCUCAACCUGGGAAAUGCAUUCGAAACUGGCAGGCUAGAGUAUUGUAGAGGGGGGUAGAAUUCCAGGUGUAGCGGUGAAAUGCGUAGAGAUCUGGAGGAAUACCGGUGGCGAAGGCGGCCCCCUGGGCAAAGACUGACGCUCAGGUGCGAAAGCGUGGGGAGCAAACAGG